CAUUGAAUGAGUUGUGUUGAAAGUAGGACUUACACCCCACGUGACGUUUCACGCAAGUGCCCGAACCGUCUGAGCAAGUGCCCUGCAAAACAAAACUUGUAUUGUUUACACUCCGUGAAAGCAAUGAACACAGACAGCAUGCAGACAUGCAUCAUGUCACUGAUAAUUUCCAUGAAAAAUCUAUCAGGUUGUGUGGAGGAGCCAGACAGAAUUACACAGAUCCAAGUGGAGCCAGGUUAGGUAGAGCUCUCAGGUUAAACAUCCUUCUGACUUCGAGCCAUAUGGAACUCCCAGGUCUUAUGACUUGGAGCCAGAGUAGGUGGAGCCGUCACCCUCAUGCUAAACAUCCUUAUAACUUGGAGCCAUGUAGAGCUCUUGGUUUAUACAUCCUUCUGACUCUUGGAGCCAGGUUACAUUGAGUUCCUCUCUGCAGAUGCUUUUGAUUUGGGUCUGAUAAGCUGCCACGUUAAGUGCUCUGUCCACAUGGAGCUUCUUGGAGACAGGUUGGGAUUGCUUGAGAUGGCGUUUUAACCCGUGGAAAUAGUAGGAGUAAAGUCAACAACAUAGUCAGCAAUACAGUUGUUAUCACAUGGCAAUAGUAGGAGUAGAGUUAACAAUAUAGGAGGUGUUAUCACAUGGCAAUAGUGGGAGUAGAGUUAACAAUAUAGGAGGUGUUAUCACAUGGCAAUAGUGGGAGUAGAGUUAACAAUAUAGGAGGUUUUAUCACAUGGCGAUGGUAUGUUCAGCUAAAGGCAAUGGUAUUUCUCAAUACUGUUUUCACAAAGUCACACCAGGUACAUUGUUUCUAGUGUCCUUGACCUCUGUACGAAGGAAUCUGACACCUCAGGAAGAUGCACUUGACUCCAGCCACCGGCCACGGAGUUGGUGGUCACACUGCAGAUAUAUGUAUGUCCUAGUGGUUAGAGAUACUUCCAGAUCAGAUCCAUCCCCUUUACAUAGUUUUGAGUUGGUUUUGUUCCCAUGGCUUAAUUGUAUACAUGUUGUAUUAUGAUAUAUGGCCCAACCAUUAAGUAUUCGGAUGGUCAGGGUGGUUGGUGGGACAGCCUGGGAGGUUUCUUUGAAAUUAUUUUUUCGGUCACCGCUUUGAAACAUACCAUUCCCUCAAUAUUUCAUUGAGAACAUCAACCAUGUCAAGUGUACAAGUUUCCUCUUUAAGUUAAACAUAAACACAAUUUUUUCCAUUUAUUUUCUGGGACAAAU
rnacentral:lncRNA from 1 species